CCCAAUUUUCCCAAAUUCCCAUUUUUUCGCCCCAGAUUGGCCACGGAUUUUCCAGAGGGGGUCAGGGAAUGUCGAGUUCCUGCCCUGGGGCUCGAGGAGCUGCUCCGGGAACGUCGGGAAAUGCUCCAGGGAAGAGAAGAAUUCCAGGAGGAGCUGGAAUUCUGCGAGCGGCUGCUGCAGCUUUGCUUCGCCACUCCCCCCGAAGAAUCCACCAUGGACCGGUGACCCCAAAAAAAAACACCAAAAAUCCCCCAAAAAAUCCCAAAAAACCAAAAAAAAACCAAAAAAAACCACCCAAAAACCAGAAAAAACCCGCAAAAAAAACACAAAAAACUCCCAAAAAACUCCAAAAA